AACAAACGCUGGCGGCGUGCCUAAUACAUGCAAGUCGAACGGGGAAAGUUCUUCGGAAUGAGUACUAGUGGCGUACGGGUGAGCAACACGUGGAUAAUCUUCCUUCAGGUGGGGAAUAACGAGUCGAAAGAUUCGCUAAUACCGCAUAAGACCACAGUAACUUUGGUUACAGGGGUUAAAGACUUCGGUCGCCUUUAGAUGAGUCUGCGUCCGAUUAGCUAGUUGGUGAGGUAAUGGCUCACCAAGGCGACGAUCGGUAACUGGUCUGAGAGGACGGCCAGUCACACUGGGACUGAGACACGGCCCAGACUCCUACGGGAGGCAGCAGUAGGGAAUUUUGCACAAUGGAGGAAACUCUGAUGCAGCGACGCCGCGUGAGUGAUGAAGGCCUUCGGGUCGUAAAGCUCUGUUCUCUAGGGAAUAAAAAAUAGAAGGUACCUAGAGGAGAAAGGACCGGCUAAC
rnacentral:rRNA from 1 species